rnacentral:rRNA from 1 species
UACGGAGGGUGCAAGCGUUAAUCGGAAUUACUGGGCGUAAAGCGCACGCAGGCGGUUGGAUAAGUUAGAUGUGAAAGCCCCGGGCUCAACCUGGGAAUUGCAUUUAAAACUGUCCAGCUAGAGUCAUGUAGAGGGGGGUAGAAUUCCAGGUGUAGCGGUGAAAUGCGUAGAUAUAGGAAGGAACACCAGUGGCGAAGGCGACCACCUGGACUGAUACUGACACUGAGGUGCGAAAGCGUGGGGAGCAAA